rfam:Candidatus Levybacteria bacterium RIFCSPHIGHO2_02_FTLL_37_10 rifcsphigho2_02_scaffold_2277, whole genome shotgun sequence.
AACCUGUAUUCCGAACUGUUACCGGACGGUGGCGUGGCUAGGCAACUAGCAUAGGAACGUGGUUGGAA